GGAGGAUCAAAGCAUCGAGAGGUUCUCUAUCACAUCGCUAAAAUGUUCAUCUAAUCUCAAUAGUGCUGUGAGGGAUUCACUGUUGGUGUGGAGAGCUUAGCUGCUUCAGGGAGAGGGGCCUUCAGACAGAGAGAGCCAACAUGUGUACUCCAGAUGCCCAAAAGCAGAGCUGUCCUCAGCCCAGCCUGCUGUCCAGAGUCCAGCCACCUAUCUACCAGCUGGCCUUCAGUGCCGCUAAAGCCUCUGGUUUUAGGGUAUGUGACAUCAAGGAAUCGGCGCAAAGGCCUAAUCACGUUAACAUCCACAACCAGACGCUCCACUCAUUUGACUAAUCAAAGAGAACGGCUCGUUCAGAAAGAAGAGAGGCACUGUAUGAGUUGUACAUUAUACAGUUCAAAGAGGCGGGGGAACGCAGCCUUCAUGUGGCCACCUGGGUUCUUCUCAAGUCUGACCCACUCACAGAACACCCAUAAAGGUCUGGGUGAGUAAAAGAGUUUCUUAGGGACAAUUUUUCUUGUAAGUAUACAAGUCCGGUUGGAAAAGACAUACAGAGGGAGCUGUGAGGGGGGAAGUGAAAGAGUACACUUUGGGGGCUUCUCAGGCUCUGUCAUAAUCUUUAUUGCAUGAUGUGAUAGAAAAUGAAUGUUUCUGGAUCAUUGAGAUUGACAUGAGCUUACAGUUUAAGGGUGUAUGACUGCAUAACAUCCAGUUUUAUUUUUCUCUUUCAGUCUCAUUCACAUGCAUGUGGUUUAUGGUGACCUGGUUUUAUUUUGAUCAAGUCUAGAGGGAUGUUAAAGAGAGCGCUUGAAAGCCUUCCACUAAACCACAUGGUUGAAGAGGUUUUUAUCUCCACCUAGUGGUCUAAAGGGUUAAAUGUUACCGGUGAAUACUUUGCAGUGAACCUUCUCAGUGAUCUAUUACUGUAUGAAAGCAUUCGCUUGAAAGUGUUUUUAGAGGCACGUUUCAAAGCAAUAUUUACACCGAACCAACACUGAAAGCAACAGUCUUUUUUUAAAAGAAA
ensembl:lncRNA